AAACUACUCCCUCCGUCCCAAAAUUCUUGUCUUAGAUAUUUCUAAAUACGAAUGUAUCUAGUUACGUUUUAGUGUUAGAUACAUCCGUAUCUAGACAAAUCCAAGACAAGAAUUUUGGGACGGAGGGAGUAGCUA
rfam:Triticum aestivum genome assembly, contig: Triticum_aestivum_CS42_TGACv1_scaffold_645316_T_1BL-0.032571_3DS-0.027310